CGCAGGUGAGGAGGCGUCCGGGGCCGCGGGAAGUAGGGUCGUGGGGGCCUGGCGGGGCGAAGUAGGGGACCCGGAGGGGCUGGAGGGAGGCGGGCGGGAGGCCCGGGACCGUUCCUGACCGAGAAGCCUGCGCCAAGCUGGUGUUCCGCGGCCGCUGCCCGGUGCCCGGCUCCACUGCGAACGCCGCCGCUGGGCCCCGACCGCCCGGGAGGCGUCUUGGGCUCGCCCCGGAGCUUCCUCCCUGGAGCCGCGCCCUGCACCCGGCCUUGCCCGGCCCUAGCAGGGAAGCCAAGGCUUGUGGGGCGCAGGGACCCGGGCUCUGCGGGGUCCCGGUUCCGCCUCCCCACUUCUGCGUCUUCCCGCCCCGGCCGGGUUCUGGGAAGCCUCGCGCGGCUCUUCCGCAGCUGCUGCCCGCCCGGAGCUCCUGGUCCCUCGUAGGGGACCCCACUUCUCUGACACCGCGUUGGGUUCCCGGGGCCUACAGCGAGGCCUGUAACUCCGGGAGAGACCCUGGAGCGGGGUGUGGGAGAACGGUCUGGAGGAAGGGCUCCGAGCACUUCGAAAGUAUAAACCGCGGUCCCAAAGAGGCGUGCUGUGUCUGCAUUUUCCUGGGAGUGCACGGUUUACAUUCUGUAAAGCAGUGCUGUCGACUAGAAAUAUUGUGCGAUACACAUGUACAAGUUUUGUCACUUAAAAAGAAUUUGAAAAAACUUCAUAGAUGCAAAAAAAAAAAACCCACCAUUAUUAAAUAAUACUUAGGUAUUUGUGGAAUGCAUUGAAGAGUUAACAAAAUGGAUAGGCAGGAAAUAUCGCAGACCUAGAAUGAAUUACAGUUACCCACUGUGGAACUGAGGAGCUAGGGUUUCUCAUAAAACUCCCUGAUAGAAGACGACUUUUGAUAAAAUUUUUUUUCCGCCAACAAAAUCCCCUGUCUUCUCAACUAGUUACUGUCUGUCCACUAAAUAAGAGGUGGUCCGUCACUUCUUCAGAUGAGCAACUACAGGCUUUUCAAAAGAUAAUUGCUAAUCAACCCCUUUGUGCCUGGGUUUUCUUAUUUGUAAAAAUAGAUACUACUACCUAACUCCAAAGUGUGUGGUGAAGACAAACAAUUGGGGUGAUGUAUACUAAAGUAACGAAAGUGUUGACCACACACUACGGGCUGGUUAGUGUUAGAUUCCCUUGUUUUUCCCUCAGUAUCAAAAACAGAUCUAAUUUAGGUUUACAUAAAGACAAAGUAUGAAGAUAAGGUGACUUACAGUUGGUACUACUAACAAAAUGUUUGGGCUAAGAUUUGCAUUAUUGCAUGAAAACAACAAAACAUAUCAAUAACAAAAAGCUUGGAAUUCAGACGACAGAUCCAAGUCUGGGCUUGAUCUCAAGCUAGUGUUUUGAUGUUGAAAAAAUGUUAUUUGGUCUUUCUAACCCCAUUUCCUUAUGUAAAAUAGGGGAUGAUGAUAAAUUCACUGAUAAUAAGAGUUAAAUGAGAUUCUUGAGGAGUCAGAAUGGUUCUAACAUGUGUAGGUAUUAUUAGCAGUCAUACUGUAGCAUAAGAAAAUACCGUCUGCUGAAAGAGGGACAAUAAAGAUUAUCUACAUGGUCAUCAUUUAAAAGCUACCAGAUAUAGGAAGAAGGGGCCAUAAAAUGAUAACGUUAUGAUGAUUAAUUUUGAUGCUUAGGUCAGAGUCCAUUCUAGGAUAUCUGCUGCCCAAAAACAGCAGAGACUCAUUUCUUUGGAAUCACAGGACGCUGAGUGAGAGGAAAGAAAAAGAAAAGAAAUAUUUAAGUCACAUAUGUGAUUUCUAAAAGUAAAAAGAAACAGAUGAAAUUAGUGAUAUAUUUUUAAAAUCCAGUAUAUCCCAAAUAUGGUUAUUUUAGCAUGUAAUCAAUAUAAAAUAAUAAGAUAUUUUACAUUCUUUUUUUCUAGUCUUUGAAAUUUGGUGCAUAUUUUACACUUAUGGCACAUCUCAAUUCAGACUAUCCACAUUUCAAGUGCUCAGUGGCUGCAUGUGCCUGGUGGCUACCAUAUUGGACAGCACAGGUCUAAGGAUUUCAUUCCUGCCACAAGUCCAAACUCCUAGCUUUAAUUUUGAGUGUUUUUAACAAACUGGCCUCUGUUUAUCAUUCUUUCUUCUAGUACUUCCCCAAGGAUGAUUGUACCCUCAGCACUCAAGACCGCUUGCGGUUCCCCUACACACUUUUUGUUCAAGCUGUUUCUUUUACCUGGAAUGCUGUCUUUGCACCUUCUUCCUGGACCUGGUUCACCCUUGUUGCCUAGGCUGGAGUGCCAUGGCGCGAUCUUGGCACACUGCAACCUCCACCUCCCUGGUUCAAGUGAUUCUCCUUCCUCAGCCUCCCGAGUAGCGGGGAUUACAGGCAUGCACCACCACGCCUGGCUAAUUUUGUAUUUUUAGUAGAGAUGGAGUUUCACCAUGUUGGUCAGACUGGUCUCGAACUCCCGACCUCAGGUGAUCUGCCUGCCUUCGCCUCCCAAAGUGCUGGGAUUACAGGCGUGAGCCGCUGCGCCCGGCCGAGAGGCACACAUUCUGCUAAGAGCUUUUUCCUGACUCCCCUAACUCCAAGAGGGAUUUGUCACUCCUUAGCUUUGUACUCAUGACUGGAGUAGAAUGAAUUUAAUUUGAGUUUAGUUGUUUUUGAGACUCUCCCUGGCUAGUGUAGUGUCUUAUUCGUCUUUGUUGUGAUCAUGGUCUGCACCUAACAGAUGAUCAGUAGAUGUUUGCAGACAGAAAGUAAACCACUCAUCAGGUGUAUUCAGUCCCAUUCUUGAACGGGCUUGCUGUCUCCUUUUUGAGGAGAUCUGUGUAUGUACUCUUCUUUCACGCAUAUGUGUGAGCAAACACACACACACUAACAAGAAAUUCAUCUGAAGAUGUGCACAGGAAAUAUCUUGCAUCUUUACCCCCUUUGUGAUCUUACAUAUGGGAGAACUGAGGCACAGAAAUAAGUUAGGACAGCCAGCAAACUUGCAUCAGUAUAAAUACAAAGAAGGGGAGGGAGGAACAUGCUUGAAAGGGGUGUGCUGGUCUCAGAGGGUUAGGUUUCUCAGUUGGCUGGGCAUCAGCUGGCCAUGCUUUAGUUAUUUGAUGGGAGGAAAAAUAAGUGCGAGGUGAGGAGUAACUCCUGGGCUCUGAUGAGUAUUCUAGGCAAGUACAGAUCUGGAAAGCCUGUAUGCAAAGGAGGAACUCACUGAAAAGUGCUGGCCUGAGGAGGGCAGAAGGGAGGGCUGGGGAAGCCAGCAGGGGGAGCAAAGGAGUAGGCUUCAGCUGGGUGAAUCCGGUGUGGUAUGUUAUGUAAAAUAUACAAAUUAUUAUUGGGAAUAACCACGUCUCAGCAGUGCUAGUUCUCAGUUUGGAGAAUGGGAAAUCGAAAGGAUCAGAUUCAGAGACGGCAACUUACUCAAGGUCACAGCAUUUUAAACCCAAAUGAAAUCUCCUAGGCCCUUCAUGCCACACUCAUCCAUCCCUACCUACUUGUGUUGCAACCAAGGGCCCCACUGUAGUGCCUAGGGGAGCAGGUCUAGGGCAUAGUGCCAGGCCUGAUUAAUGUCUUCCUUACCAUUUUCCAGCGAGGGGCUGUGAUUAGGCCUAUUUAUAGGGGCCUGGUCCCUUAAUAUUCUGCCUGGUGCAUCUCUUGCCAAUCAAAUCAGUGCUGUCUGCAGUGUGAUUGCUGCUGUAGUGGCACCAGGGAGAGGAGUUAAUUAAACCCAAUAUAAAUAGACUCUCCCCUCACUGUGCAAUUCCAGGAGUGUUUUUCCUUCCUGUCCUCCACCCCCACAGGCACCUCUUUCCUCUUGGCCCCCUAAGCUCUAGCCUGGGUGAGCAGGGCUGGAUACUCCUAUACCUAGAGUCACUAGCCACUGCCCAGUCUGUUUCAGGAGCAGACCUCAAAUUCCUCAGGGGUUAAAGUGGGAAGAACCCGUGUGUGCACAUUUUUUGUGCUUUUCCAGAACUGUGUACCAUUUGGCAGUUGAUCAGGCAAUCUCCCCCGCUACCCCAUUUCUACCCCUUUGUUUCCAGCCUCUUUUUUCCUCUGCAACCAAGGUUUCUUGUUUAUCCAAGGUGGGGAGCUGAACUGAGACAAGGUAUGGAAAGGGUGCCUGGCAGGUAGCAAGCACCUUGUAGGGGGUCAGAAAUGUUGCACCUUCUCUGAACUCCUCCAUUGACCCUAGAGAUUCCCCAGUCCCUGGCCCUGCCCUUUCCCUCAUUCACUCAGCAGGCAUCAGCAGAGUCCCAUCUAUGCGCUCCUGGCCUCUCAGCAAAUGCUCUGUCCCCUACUCCCCUAUCUGUGCAGGCUGAAGCUAUGUGCAUAGUUGGGAUGAGGGCUGUGUUGUCUCAACACCACGCUGCCCUGUGGUGGGGGCGUGCCGGUGGUCGUGGGUGGCUCUGAUGCUCCGGCUCCGACCCACAGGCACCAUGACUCCUGUGAGGAUGCAGCACUCCCUGGCAGGUCAGACCUAUGCCGUGCCCCUCAUCCAGCCAGACCUGCGGCGAGAGGAGGCCGUCCAGCAGAUGGCGGAUGCCCUGCAGUACCUGCAGAAGGUCUCUGGAGACAUCUUCAGCAGGUGGGUGCUGCCACUCACCCCCACCUGAUGAGAGGGCCAUCCCUGUCCUGGGCAAUCCCAGCAACACACCCUCUGGGAGCAGCCCCCUUGGGGAAUCCUGGUCCUGGGGAACCCAUCUGGUUUCCCUGUGUGGGAGGGGCUGAAGUGAGAGCCCAACUUGGAAGCUUUUACUCCUGGGAGUCCGAGAGCUCACUCCCUUCCACCCCACUUAGCCUCCUGGUUUCCUGUGGUGGCUCUGCUCUCACAACUCAUGCUUUUCCUCCCAUUGGAGGGCCUAUUCCUUCACGUUUUCCUGCAGCCAACAAAUAUUUACCCAGCAGUGCUCGUGUGCAAGGCAGUGUGGGAAUCUCUAUAUAUCCAGCCAUGGAUAAGGCAACAUACCUCUCCACCUGGAGCGCACAUUCUGGCAGGAGAGAAAGACCUAAAUAAGCAAUAGAUGAUUAGUUCUUCAAUAACAGUUGUGACAAGGUCUAUUGAUAAUAUUUUGUAAUCGCUAAUAUUCAUAUAAACCGUGCACCACCAUUGAUUUGAGUGCAUUAACUCACACUUCAUGAGCAGGCACUGCCGUCAUCUCAUUUUAUAGAUGAGGAAACUGAGGCACAGAAAGGCUGAGAGACCUGGCCUAGUGACAGAGCCAGGAUUCAAAGCCAUAGAUCAUGGCCCCGGGUUACGUAGGUUAUUACUGCAUCUGUUCAGGGGAGAUGGGGUACUGUGAGGCUCGUCAUGGGAAGCCUGGCUUGGUCUCAGGUCAGGGAAGGCAGAUGUGAGGAAAUGACAUUUAUGGUAAAGUCUGAGGGUUGAGUGGGUGGGUUGGGAAGAACAUUCCAGAAAGAAGCACAUGAACUACAGCCUGGAGGUGGAGGACCUAAAAGGAAGCCAGCAUGGCUGGAGCACGGAGUGGCCAUUGAGGGAGGCGAGCUGGAGGGGUGCAGCUUCUUGUAUUGGCAGCGCUGACCUCGCACAGUCCUUGGGCUCCAGUGACUUCACUCAGUGUUUAUCUUACAUGAGUGAGUGAAUGGUGUUUGCUGUUUUUUUGGCAAAGGUCCCAGGGGUUGUCGGGUACACAGGUCCUGUCUUUGGCCAUAAGCAAACUGAAAUGAGGCUUGGUCUCCUUCCCAGGAUCCCACACCAUGCCUCACAUGGUAGACCCCAGCGGGAAGUAUGUGACUGCCUGACUCAGGUGCCUCUCGUGGUCCAAGCCAUCCCUGCCCUGUCCCUUCCCUGGUUGUCGCCAGACGUGGAGCCCCUGCUCCUUCACUUUGCAGCCCCCUCUUCUGUCACCAACUGGGAACCCACCUCUUCCUGAAAGUCCUCCCCCACUGACUCACCGGCUUGCCCCAAGCUUGUCAAGAAUGUCCCAGUAACCAGGGGACACACACUGAAGUGACUGAGGGGUUACCUUGGAGUUGAUGCCUUGGCUCAGAUCCAGCUCCCCUGUUUUCUUCCUCUGUAACCUUGGGCAACCCAACCCCUCUAAGCCUCGGUGUUCUCAUUUGUGAAGUUGUGGUAAUAAUGGUAGCUUCCUGGUAGAAUUAUUGUAAAUAUUAAAUUAAUCAAAACAUGCAAAGGAAUGGAACAGUGCCUGGCACCUAGGAAGCCUUCAGGAAAUGCUGUCUCUUCCCUGUUGAUAAUCUUGACCCGUACACUGCCUUUGGUUGCCAUUCAUGAACCUGCCACCAAUAGUAACAAAGUGCUGGAUGCACCUUUUGUGCUUAUCUUUGUGCUAAAUGUGCCUGAGGGACGCCUAGGGAAGAGGAUGCAGGUCUUUAAGAGCCAUCAGCUCCAGAUUAUGGCCACCCCAUGUCCAGCACUUAGAAUGGAGGCCAAAACCAUUCCCUCGGAAAUUGUGUUUCCUUGCCAAGAUGGGGACUGCGUGGUUGCCCUUCUCUGAGGGCAGCGCUGGAUUUUUGGCAUCUUUCCUUUCCUGUCCUGGUACUUGGCACCUUGUAGACAGUUGCAUGUCCCCUGCCCAGGGAUGGGAUGAGGAGAGGGCAGGAAGGCAUUUCCUGGGUAGUGGAGUGCUGCGUUCAUUGAGUGUGGGUUCUCCAAGCUGCUGGCACAGCGCAGGGAGGGCCAGAUGCCUCUCAGGAGCCUUGGGCCUGAGUCCUGGCUCCCUCACUCCUGGGUUCCAGGUCAAUGCAUCUGUCUCUCCACCAUGUGCUCCACCUCGUGCUGGACCUUAAGAGAUACCAAUUAUGUGGCUGACACUGUGUCCUAGAGGCUGGAAUGGGAACACAUAGGGCGAGAUUGAUUGUUAAUUGCUAGCAUGAACCGCGUGGGCUUCUCAGGGUCUAGAGUGGAGAGAAAUCGGUAAGAAUUGGUGGCACGCCUGUCAGAACUCCCCAAACCAAGCUAAGCAGAAAUUAACCAAUCAGUAGAGCAGCCUUCGGAGUAAGGGCUAAAAUGAUGUCCUCAGGGCCUGGUUUUGCUUUUCUUCCAUGUCAGUUUGCUUCUUUGGGUCUGGCUGCAUUCCCAGACAGGCCAUGCUGUCGUGGUAGCAAGGUGACACGACACAGGGUCAGGUCCAGCAGGAAAGAAUGCUCUCCUGUGUCCCCACUUCCUCCAGAAGCCACACUCACCCAUCCCACCUGGCUUGGUCCUCAUGUCUAUCCCAGAAUCCAUUAAUGGGGCCAGGGGACUAUGACACAACCACUUGGCUUAGACUGAGGAGCUCUGUGGGCAGCCCCACCUGAAGCUCUGGGACUAAGCCUGCGAGAGAGAUGGAUUCCCCAAGGGAAAUGGGGCCAUUGCUUGAGUAAAAAGGAAAUAGUUGCUGAAGAGUAAAACCACUUGCUUACUCCACAUAGGGCAGACUCCUGGAAGAGGGGGGCAGGGUAGGGAGGUGGAUAUGCAGGUUGCCCUGGUGGGGUCUGGAAAUGGGGGCUGCAGGCUUGGAGGGAGGCCUCAGUGUGGCUUGGAACGUGGUGUAUGGUGGUCUGCCGCGAAGGCCGGCCUGCACAGGGGUGGGAGGGGGGAGCUUCUGCAUGGGAAGCACAGACAGCGCUGCCUCUCCCUUGCACUCAGCUCUCGGGGCAUGAGAGGCUGACUUUCCGUGAGCCUGUGGGCCAGGCCUCUUUGAAUGGGGCUGAGGGAGCUUUGCCCUGGUUCCUUUGUGUCCCCACGGUGCCACGGGAGGCUCCCUGGCAGGGUGUGGGGCAAGGCAGUGAGUGAAGAGUUGGGAUGAGUGAGUUAGGGCCCACGGAUUACUCAAGACAGGACUUCACGUUGAUUCAGGAGCGUUAGGGAGCUGUGAUUGGAUUUUGAGCAGGGCAGGGAUGGGACAGAAGAGUUUGGGGAAGGUUCCUCAGGCAUCCGUCACGGAAGGGAUAAGAAGGGAGAGAGAGUGGAUGCCGGGGACACCCAGAAGCUGUUAUUGUAGUCAGGAUGCGACAGGGGUGAGGCUGCAGACAGGGGACUUGCAAGCAGGGAGGGCAGGGUGAGACAUUCAGAGGAAACGACGACAGGAAAUGGUGACAGAUAGGGAACGAGGAUGAAGGGAAGGGAGAGCCAGUGACGACUGGCAGUGGAGUGGGGAGCACCGCCACCUCUCCUCCUCCACUUGCCCCUCCUGUGGCACUGGACAAGCUAGUGGGCUUUUCGUUGUCCAUGGGCUUUUUUGGUGGGGAUGUGACCAGCUUUGAACCCUUCCCCUUAAACAUGCUCCUCCUGCACGGAAGAGACAGGGGCAGGGGAGAGACUCUCUCCCCACCACGCAGCUCAGGCCCCAGUACAGCCCGGCCUCUGGCCUCACUGGCGUCUGUGCCCAGUGACGCAGGCAUGUGAGCUCCUGGCAAAUUAGCAUUGCAGGCUGUGCUCUCUCCUCCGGCUCUGCUGCAGCUGGGAGUGUGCAGAGACUGGAGGGGAUGACAGUCACCCCUCUGUUUUCUGUGGUGGCUCUGUUUUCUGUGGUGCUGGAUGCACCUCUGCUUUCUGUGGUGGCUCCAAGAGAGUGCACGGUCCCUGCUGAUUGAAAGAAGGAUGAAGGGCAGAAGAGGGGCGGGGAGCUGUGUACCCUAAGAUCUCAUUGCCUUUUUAUGCCGAUUAACAUGCUUUUAGCCCCUACUGAGCUUAUAGUUAACAGAAGUUUCCAGGUCUUUCUUCACCUGAACUGUGUCUAAAGCAAGUUCCCUCCACCUUCUGUAUUUAUACGCUUGAUUUUUAAAACCUAAAUGUUGGGCUUCACAUUUGUUCCUUGUAAAUUUCAUCUUGGUGAUUGCAGUCUACCCUAUGGCCUUUAAAAAUUGUCUGAGCCUUGAUUCGAUCAUGAAACCAACUUACCCUUCCCCUGUGUGCUGGCCCCAGUUUUCUAACCAGGUGUUGAAUGAACUGGAUGGACUCUGCCAGAUCCCUCCGUGCAAGGCUGGAAUCAGUCCAUUGUUCAACUGUGCCCUUUGGGGCUGUGGUUCAUUUGGCUCUGAGUUUUCCUAUAUGUUCUGUCCUCCAACCCCCAUAGCUCCAUCUUGUCUACAAGAUUUUGUUAGAAGCCGUCAAAAUCCUGCUGACUCGAGAUGCACUGUGCUGCAUGUUUUCCCCGGGCACAGCAGGCUAAUAAUCCUGUUACAAAGAGAAAUGCUGUACAUUUCGAGCAGUGCUGGCCCCUGGGACUCACCGCGGCCUUUUCUAAGUGCUUACAGACUCUCUGUUUAAUAAUCCAUUCCAGAAAUUUUCCAGGGCUCAUUGUUGAGCUUGGUGUUCGCAACUUUGAGUGAUCAGCCCUUCUCCUUUGUGGGAGCACCAGGACAGAGCAGCCUUUGUCCCUCCCCAGUCUCAGUUCCCUCCCACUGCCCCUGUGGACCUCGAAUGCAGAGCUUAUGCACCUACCGAAGGUCGUGUCAGCACCCAAGGCAGAACGAGGCUGCCCUGGGAACUAGGGUCAAUUAAGACAGCUUGUGCUGGAGGACCCUUUACAGCAGAUGAAGGCCUCUCCCCAGCCAGAAAAGAUGGAGCACACGCUGGGUGGUGGCCCCGCUUCCUCACUGGAAGGAGAUGGUGCUCUUCUUUUUUCUUUCUGAAUUGUGGCCACCUUCAUACCAGUCUGUCAUGGAACACUUAAGCCGCUUGAGUGCCUGCUGGUACUCCCAGCCCUGCCAUGCCUGAGCCCCCUGCACACAAGGAGCCAGGAGUAAUCAGGGCAGACCCAUUAGGGCGCGGGGACUUCUGGAUUGUGAAAUUGGCUCUCUGGGGGCCAAGGCCUUCUAACGUUGGUGGAAGUGGCUUUGGCUUAUUGGGUCGGAUUCUAGGCCAUUCAUUCCAACCUUUAGAGACAUCCCAGCUUUCCCUAGCCCAGAGUCUGCAGCCCCUCCACCAUCCCACAUCCUCCCCCUCCCUUUCCUCAUGAACCCCAGUCGCGCCUCUGCCUUCUCAAACCCCUCCACCAUCCCACACCCUCCUCCUGCCCUUCCUCAUGAACCCCAGUCGCGCCUCUGCCUUCUCAUCCCUGCGCACCACACAGGCUCGCUCGUGCCCGGUGAAUGCUGAGGCUGCUCUGCACAUGGAGUGUGGCCCUGUGGGCAAGGGCUGGGCUCUUGGAGGUAGGGGAGCUACAGGGGCGACUGGGAGGAGGAUGUCGUGUUACACACGCAUCAGAGUUAACUUUGCAGUGAGAGCGGCCUUGCUGCGGCCAAAGAACAUGGAAAAGCAUGAGUGGGGUGAUGUGCCUUAAAGCAUCAGACACUUGGGCCUCGGGCAUCAGGAGCCAGCCACAGGGAUGUCUGGGGAAAUGGCGUUCCAUGAGACGCAAGCACACAAGAAUGCACUUGGCACAUCUGGGGAACAGCAGGCAGCUGAUAUCACUGGGCCCACCCCACACCAGGGAGGAUGGAAGCAGGUGAGGAGCUAGACCACACUGAGGCGGUGGUCGGGACUCGGGGUUUGCUCAGUGAGCCGUUCACUAUGUGCAGGGGCAGUUCCCCGUCUGAAUUUAGGUGACGACACUCAGGUCCAGCCUUGCCAGUCUCAGCCUCCGGUCUCCGUUCCCCCUCUGCAGAGGCCACAUUGUCUGCUGCACGUGAUCAUGAGGGGUUGUGAAGUGCUUGCCCCAUCAGUAGCCAUGUGUGCAUGUGUAAAUACCAUCCUCUGUGUGCCCUGGAGGCUGUCCUUCAGAUAGCAUGUACAGGUGGCAGCAUAGGGCCUGUCCCUACUGAGAGUGCAGGGAACUCAGCACCGUCAACUCCUCGACCCUGCAGGUCAGAUUAUCCUUGUAGAGGCCCCCUGGAUGGCACCAAGAUCGGCCCUGGCAAGUAGGUGACCCUGACUUCAGAGCCCUUGCCUGAGGGCCUGGCCUGGCAGCUCUGCUGUUAGAAGCAGGAGGUGUGCAGAGGGUGGGGAGCAGCCCAGCCUCUGUGAUCUUCUCCAUGGCAGGAUCUCCCAGCAGGUAGAGCAGAGCCGGAGCCAGGUGCAGGCCAUUGGAGAGAAGGUCUCCUUGGCCCAGGCCAAGAUUGAGAAGAUCAAGGGCAGCAAGAAGGCCAUCAAGGUGUUCUCCAGUGCCAAGUACCCUGCUCCAGGGCGCCUGCAGGAAUAUGGCUCCAUCUUCACGGGCGCCCAGGACCCUGGCCUGCAGAGACGCCCCCGCACAGGAUCCAGAGCAAGCACCGCCCCCUGGACGAGCGGGCCCUGCAGGAGAAGCUGAAGGACUUUCCUGUGUGCGUGAGCACCAAGCCGGAGCCCGAGGACGAUGCAGAAGAGGGACUUGGGGGUCUUCCCAGCAACAUCAGCUCUGUCAGCUCCUUGCUGCUCUUCAACACCACCGAGAACCUGUAUGGCCAGAGGGCAGGGCCGAGGGGUGUGGGCGGGAGGCCCGGCCUGGCUUAGUGGGGACCCAGGUCAUCAGACACAGGUACAGCACAUAGGCCAGGAGCCAGGGGGUGACGGGUGGCUCGGCUCGGGAGGCCUGGGACCCCACAGUGCACGCUGUGCCCCUGAUGAUGUGGGAGAGGAACAUGGGCUCAGGACAGCGGGUGUCAGCUUGCCUGACCCCCAUGUCGCCUCUGUAGGUAGAAGAAGUAUGUCUUCCUGGACCCCCUGGCUGGUGCUGUAACAAAGACCCAUGUGAUGCUGGGGGCAGAGACAGAGGAGAAGCUGUUUGAUGCCCCCUUGUCCAUCAGCAAGAGAGAGCAGCUGGAACAGCAGGUCCCAGAGAACUACUUCUAUGUGCCAGACCUGGGCCAGGUGCCUGAGAUUGAUGUUCCAUCCUACCUGCCUGACCUGCCCGGCAUUGCCAACGACCUCAUGUACAUUGCCGACCUGGGCCCCGGCAUUGCCCCCUCUGCCCCUGGCACCAUUCCAGAACUGCCCACCUUCCACACUGAGGUAGCCGAGCCUCUCAAGACCUACAAGAUGGGGUACUAACACCACCCCCACCGCCCCCACCACCACCCCCAGCUCCUGAGGUGCUGGCCAGUGCACCCCCACUCCCACCCUCAACCGCGGCCCCUGUAGGCCAAGGCGCCAGGCAGGACGACAGCAGCAGCAGCGCGUCUCCUUCAGUCCAGGGAGCUCCCAGGGAAGUGGUUGACCCCUCCGGUGGCUGGCCACUCUGCUAGAGUCCAUCCGCCAAGCUGGGGGCAUCGGCAAGGCCAAGCUGCGCAGCAUGAAGGAGCGAAAGCUGGAGAAGCAGCAGCAGAAGGAGCAGGAGCAAGUGAGAGCCACGAGCCAAGGUGGGCACUUGAUGUCGGAUCUCUUCAACAAGCUGGUCAUGAGGCGCAAGGGCAUCUCUGGGAAAGGACCUGGGGCUGGUGAGGGGCCCGGAGGAGCCUUUGCCCGCGUGUCAGACUCCAUCCCUCCUCUGCCGCCACCGCAGCAGCCACAGGCAGAGGAGGACGAGGACGACUGGGAAUCGUAGGGGGCUCCAUGACACCUUCCCCCCCAGACCCAGACUUGGGCCGUUGCUCUGACAUGGACACAGCCAGGACAAGCUGCUCAGACCUACUUCCUUGGGAGGGGGUGACGGAACCAGCACUGUGUGGAGACCAGCUUCAAGGAGCGGAAGGCUGGCUUGAGGCCACACAGCUGGGGCGGGGACUUCUGUCUGCCUGUGCUCCAUGGGGGGACGGCUCCACCCAGCCUGCGCCACUGUGUUCUU
rnacentral:lncRNA from 1 species